UUUUAUGACUGCAGAUGUUUCCGUAAAGAUUUUUAUUGAUGCCAUAACAAAACUGGUCCUACAUUACGUCCGACGCCACGCGUUGCCGACACACGAGUACUUUUAUUUCUCUUCAAACUGUAUAACAUAUAGUUGCGGCGACGACUGCCUGACUACAUGUAAAUAUCUGAAUAUAUUAUAGGUAUCAGUCACUGAUUUCUGAAAAUACUUCUUCCAAGUGCUCUAAAGAAACCGUCUCAAAGAAUGAUCUGAAUAACUUCAAAUAACGAUUAGGCAGUUACUUUAAUGUCUUUCUCUAAAAUUGGUUCAUUUCUAAAGAUUGGACAAAUUAAAAUACUCAUAUCAUAA